AUUGAACGCUGGCGGCAGGCUUAACACAUGCAAGUCGAGCGGGGUGAUGGUGCUUGCACUAUCACUUAGCGGCGGACGGGUGAGUAAUGCUUAGGAAUCUGCCUAUUAGUGGGGGACAACAUCUCGAAAGGGAUGCUAAUACCGCAUACGUCCUACGGGAGAAAGCAGGGGAUCACUUGUGACCUUGCGCUAAUAGAUGAGCCUAAGUCGGAUUAGCUAGUUGGUGGGGUAAAGGCCUACCAAGGCGACGAUCUGUAGCGGGUCUGAGAGGAUGAUCCGCCACACUGGGACUGAGACACGGCCCAGACUCCUACGGGAGGUAGCAGUGGGGAAUAUUGGACAAUGGGGGGAACCCUGAUCCAGCCAUGCCGCGUGUGUGAAGAAGGCCUUAUGGUUGUAAAGCACUUUAAGCGAGGAGGAGGCUCUUUUGGUUAAUACCCAAGAUGAGUGGACGUUACUCGCAGAAUAAGCACCGGCUAACUCUGUGCCAGCAGCCGCCGUAAUAC
rnacentral:rRNA from 1 species